AAUCCAUGCAUAGGACACUUCUACAGUAAAUCUUUAAAUCUUUUCCAUCCUUCGUACAAGCUUUCAUCAUCCAUCUGCUUGAAUGAAUUUACAUUGUUUCAAAGCUU